rnacentral:rRNA from 1 species
GACAGCAGUAGCCGCGGUAAUACGUAGGGUGCGAGCGUUAAUCGGAAUUACUGGGCGUAAAGCGUGCGCAGGCGGUUAUAUAAGUCAGAUGUGAAAUCCCCGGGCUCAACCUGGGAACUGCAUUUGAGACUGUAUGGCUAGAGUGUGUCAGAGGGGGGUUGAAUUCCACGUGUAGCAGUGAAAUGCGUAGAUAUGUGGAGGAAUACCGAUGGCGAAGGCAGCCCCCUGGGAUAACACUGACGCUCAUGCACGAAAGCGUGGGGAGCAAACAGGAUUAGAUACCCCUGUAGUCCCUGUCUCUUAUAC